rnacentral:rRNA from 1 species
AUUGAACGCUGGCGGCAGGCCUAACACAUGCAAGUCGAGCGGAUGACGGGAGCUUGCUCCUUGAUUCAGCGGCGGACGGGUGAGUAAUGCCUAGGAAUCUGCCUGGUAGUGGGGGACAACGUUUCGAAAGGAACGCAAAUACCGCAUACGUCCUACGGGAGAAAGCAGGGGACCUUCGGGCCUUGCGCGAUCAGAUGAGCCUAGGUCGGAUUAGCUAGUAGGUGAGGUAAUGGCUCACCUAGGCGACGAUCGGUAACUGGUCUGGGAGGAUGAUCAGUCACACUGGAACUGAGACACGGUCCAGACUCAUACGGGAGGCAGCAGUGGGGAAUAUUGGACAAUGGGCGAAAGCCUGAUCCAGCCAUGCCGCGUGUGUGAAGAAGGUCUUCGGAUUGUAAAGCACUUUAAGUUGGGAGGAAGGGCAGUAAGCUAAUACCUUGCUGUUUUGACGUUACCGACAGAAUAAGCACCGGCUAACUCUGUGCCAGCCGCCGCCGUAA